rnacentral:lncRNA from 1 species
AGCGCGCAGCCGGCCGCCCUCAACCGCUCCCAGCAUCGGUUGCCGGUGGUUCGGGGCAGGGAGACGACGCAGCGCGAGCGGAAAGGGCGGUUACCCAACGGCCUUAGCUCUCAUGGCGUCCUCCGUGGUGUUACCUAAAAAUAAAGUUAUUUGUGAUUAGAAGGUAAUCGCCUCCUGGUCAUGCUUCCGCUGGUCACCAGUGUCUGCGGGGCGACCCCAUCCUUGUGGCCAGAGAGGGCCUGUGGCUGCGCUCAAGGCAGGAGCGGUCCUUAGCAGGGCCCUGCGGGACGCCCAGGCCGCGCUCCUUUCCCUUGCUCGCCUGGCCUUGAAGUGAAGGGGGAGGUUUAACAAUGCAGUGGGAACCCCAAAGUUUGUCUCGGCCGUGCUGCUCACAUUCCAAACAAUGCAAAAGGUUGAGGAAAACCUCAGCAGUUGAAACCGUGAUGCAUUUCAGCAAAGAAGUAGCUCCUGUCCUCGUAAAAUCAGUGAAGUUCUCACGGACGACCUCAUUGAAAGUUUUCAUGGGCUGAGCUGCUGAGUUCAGCCUGGGAACUGAGGCCAACAUCGGAGUCUCCUCGGCACACAAGUUUGAAAGAAGUCCUAGUGACUUCAAGCUCAGAACCAUGGACGGCAGGGCUCCCUCUGGAUGUGGAAUUCUCCGUCCCUUUCCAGGGAGGGAACAAAGCCCACAAGCACCGAGACUCCUUCAGGGUGAGCAAAGGCCUGGAAACCUGUAUGCAGUUAAAGAAAAGGAAAGAAAGAGAUAAUCAGUGCAUGCAGUUGUCAGCUGGCUGGGACCUGAGGAGAGUCACUUGUGGAGGCAACUGGUCUUUAUCCCUAUUGUCCGGUACAAGGCAGGCAUUAAUCCUGUGAUCCUUAUCUGAAGCUCAGGUUUGAUUUUAUUCUUUUCUUAAGUACCUAGUGUUAUCCCCAAGCUUGUAAUGAUAGUUUAAUUGUUACAGCCAAUAUCUCACCUUCAGAAGUAAGAUGCUUAGGAAACCAAGACAAGGAACUGUGUGUUGCAAACAGCAUCACCCUGGAGAAGAGGUGGCAGGAGGUGACCUACAGAAAAUGGAGCAAUAGCCUAGAGCAAGAAACACAGAAUAAAAGAGAAAUGAGGGGUUAGGCAACCUCCUGGAGCACCAACGGGACAAGCACAUAUUCAGGGGCCUCCUAACAGACUCGACUUCCAGCAUCCUCAGAUGGGGCUAGACACGUUACAUAGACAUUCAAGAGUAGAGAACUCAGGGACUUCUGAUUUAUAUCAAGAAAUGCAUACACAGCAGACGUGUGCCUGUGGAGUGGAAUUCUGGAAAAGCUCACAGCCCAGAACAUAAUGCAGACUCCCCCAGCCACAGCACCUUCCAAUCCUGAGAAGAGUGCUGAUUCUCCAUCUGAGCACCCAUUCUCCUGCAACAUCAGGGGAGAGGAUUUCACCUAAGGGUCAGACCAGCAUCUCCAAACCCAGCUCCCCACCUUUGCCUGUUGGUGGCACUUGUGGGAGAAGGGGAGAUGAUAUGAAAAGAGCCACAACAGGAGUCACCUGGACAGGGUGGAGCUUGAUGGAAACUGACAUUUGUGUCCACUGGAGGCAAAUGUAGAAUUUGGUAUCUUCCGUAGCGUCAGGCACAUGAAACUCUCCAGUGCCCAUGACUUUUGACAGUGACUUCAGAGCACAUCUGGGAGACCCAUGUGGCCCAGGCUCCACACAGGCAGGAGCUCAGCUUCACUCACAGCGGGAUUCCUAGUGCCAAGAACACCAUAGGUGCAUAGCAGGUGAUCAAAAUAAUUGUAUGUGGCUGAAUCAGUGAGAGGUAAGAGAGAGGACUUGAUCCUAGCUGCAAACUAAGAGACCUCAUUAAAACCUAACGUGGCUGGGUGUGGUGGCUCACGCCUGUAAGCCCAGCACUUUGGGAGGCCGAGGGGUGGAUCACCUGAGGUCAGGAGUUCGAGACAAGCCUGGCCAACAUGGUGAAAACCCAUCUCUACUAAAUAUACAAAAAAUUGGCUGGGCAUGGUGGCGGGUGCCUGUAAUCCCAGCUACUUGGGAGGCUGAGGCAGGAGAAUCACUUGAACCCAGGAGGCGGAGGUUGCAGUGAGCCGAGAUUGCACCACUAUACUCCAGCCUGGCAAUAAGAGCAAAAGUCCGUCUCAAAAC